ACUCCUACGGGAGGCAGCAGUGAGGAAUAUUGGACAAUGGGCGCAAGCCUGAUCCAGCCAUGCCGCGUGCAGGAUGACGGUCCUAUGGAUUGUAAACUGCUUUUAUACAGGAAGAAACACCUCUACGUGUAGAGACUUGACGGUACUGUAAGAAUAAGGAUCGGCUAACUCCGUGCCAGCAGCCGCGGUAAUACGGAGGAUCCAAGCGUUAUCCGGAAUCAUUGGGUUUAAAGGGUCCGUAGGCGGUUUAGUAAGUCAGUGGUGAAAGCCCAUCGCUCAACGGUGGAACGGCCAUUGAUACUGCUAGACUUGAAUUAUUAGGAAGUAACUAGAAUAUGUAGUGUAGCGGUGAAAUGCUUAGAGAUUACAUGGAAUACCAUUGCGAAGGCAGGUUACUACUAAUUGAUUGACGCUGAUGGACGAAAGCGUGGGUAGCGAACAGGAUUAGAUACCCUAGUAGGAUAGCGU
rnacentral:rRNA from 1 species